rnacentral:rRNA from 1 species
UACGUAGGGUCCGAGCGUUGUCCGGAAUUAUUGGGCGUAAAGAGCUCGUAGGCGGUUUGUCGCGUCUGCUGUGAAAACCCGAGGCUCAACCUCGGGCCUGCAGUGGGUACGGGCAGACUAGAGUGCGGUAGGGGAGAUUGGAAUUCCUGGUGUAGCGGUGGAAUGCGCAGAUAUCAGGAGGAACACCGGUGGCGAAGGCGGGUCUCUGGGCCGUUACUGACGCUGAGGAGCGAAAGCGUGGGGAGCGAACAGG